UACAGAGGGGGCAAGCGUUGUUCGGAAUUACUGGGCGUAAAGGGUGCGUAGGCGGCCUGCUAAGUCGAACGUGAAAUCCCUGGGCUCAACCCAGGAACUGCGUCCGAUACUGGUUGGCUUGAAUCCGGGAGAGGGAUGUGGAAUUCCAGGUGUAGCGGUGAAAUGCGUAGAUAUCUGGAGGAACACCGGUGGCGAAGGCGACAUCCUGGACCGGUAUUGACGCUGAGGCGCGAAAGCCAGGGGAGCAAACGGG
rnacentral:rRNA from 1 species